UCCCAACAGAAAGGCAAAAGUAUAUUCUUCUUCUUCCUUAUGCACAACAGUAGCAGUGCAAGUGCUUCUCCAAAUACCAAUAAAUAAAUAAAUAAAUUAAGCUGACCAGCACGAAUUGCCUGCCACAAGAAUCCAAAGCCACACAAACAAACAAAAAACAAACAAUUAAAUAUGAACUUAUAUUCUCCUAUAUUAAGUUUAUCACACUCACGCUCAUAGAUUAGUCACUGCUAUCAAACAUCUUAUAACUGUCGGUAUAACUUCAUUUGUAGGGAUCUCAACUCUCCACUUAAAAGUGUUUCAUUCUAGUCACUAAUUU
rnacentral:lncRNA from 1 species